ensembl:lncRNA
GGAGACAUUCCACUCCUACCCCGGCUGUUACUCAAGCGGGCGCCACCACCUAGGCCCCGGCAGCGCAGCCAGCCUUGCAAACAGACGGAAUCUUGCCGGCCGGACUUUUGGGUGAAGCAGCCCAGGCGGGCUGCGGCGGGCCUCGGCCUCCCUCCCCAAACUGGGCGAGGCACCGCCAGGCCCAAACCGUGUGAGCAGACGGCUGGAGACCUCCGAGCCAGGAGAACGUCCCUUCUCGCGGAGAGCAAGGCCUUCCCGCCCCGGCGCGGCCCCCGGGCCACGGGUGUGACCCUGGAGCCUAACAAAGGGCCUUCAGAGCUCCUUUCGGCCUCGGACUGGCGGGGGAGGGGUGGUCCCGCGGGGAGGGGGGCGGCGCGGCCGCCCAAGUGUACCCGCACGCCCCCUGACCCGCCGUGCCGAGUCAGCCGAGCCCGGCGCCCUCGAGGAAACCACCGAGGUAGCUUGAUCGAGGCCGCUGGGCACUCCCCAGGACCAUUCAGGGGUUCGGGCGGCUCGGCGGCCGGCGAGCCUCCCUCCCAGCCCCGCGGCCCAGCCCUGCCCCGCCCGACCCAGCGCGGGCUCCACCCGAGUGCGGUCUUCCCAAUAAAAGCUGGAAUUCCCGGCUGGGCUCAGACAAAGAGGGACCGCGGCAAAUCGACGCCGCGGGCAAACCAAACCCAAGCCUAGUUUAUGUGCACGUCUGGGGUCACAGAGGCGCCUGCUAAUCCUCCCUACCGAGCAGGCCGUCCCCGCACGGUCUCCUCCAGGAAAAGAAAAAAAAAAGCAUACCUCCCCUUGAUUUUGCCCAGAGGCCGAACUUCGCACUUUUUUCUGUUCACUAGACCCUGUGCGCCAACCUUAGCAAACAGGACUUAGAGCAGCCCAGCAUCCCUUCCUCCCCAGCCAGGAGUGUAACGCUUACUCCUAGUCUUCCUCCACCAUCCAUCCUCUCAAGGUCAAGAGCUCAAAAAUCUUUAGAAAUCCUCCAACCUGGUCAAGACAUACCUUCUCCCCACUCUGGCUUGGAAGAAACUAUAACCAAGAAGCAAUCUUAGUGACUGAGGACCAUCUACCCUUAGCUAGGCGCCUCUGCCCUCAGUUUCCUUCUAGCCAAAGACACGUUAUUUCGGUAAAUGAGUGUGUGAAUGUGGUUGUGUGGCGACAUUUCCUGCCCUGGUCGGUCUCCUGGGCAGGAAAGUCUCCAUCAGGCAUUGAGGAGUUUUUGUCAUUCAGCCUGUGUAUCUAAGCGUGGAUGUGUGCAUAUGAAUGCUUUUUGUGUUUCCAAGUGACCCUCUUCACACCUUUAAAUGGGCUUUUGUCUCUGGAACGAACUUACAGAAAUUCUGCCCCAGUUUCCAGCUCAACAAAGUCUGGGAUUUUCUCUCCUAGAAUCUCGCUCUAGGUCUCAGUAUUUGCAUAUCCAUGUUUACAUUCCUCUUGGCCAGUUCUUUAUCUCUUCUGUAUCUCUUGUUCGUGUGGGCAUCGGAGCCCAAGUGUCUUGAUUUGUCUCAGCACAUGUCAUUCAGGCACACAUCUUAAUCUGUGCAUUCCUGUCUAACAGUACACCUCCCCACGACUUACAUUCUUGCUUUGCCUAUAAUGUGGUUCAUUUUCAGACCAGACCAAUGUUGGUUUGUAGUUUAAAUGUACCUAGAGGAUUCCCCUAAGAUUACAAUCCCUAAAAGGGAGAGGAAGGGGGAAGGAGAGGAGCAUGACUAAUGAUUCAUUUUUAUAUAGAGUAACCUACCCGCCAAUUGUCCACCUCUGCAAAAGCUAGACCAAUGCCUUCAAGAGUUGUAUUAAAAUUUUAGACCAAUUCAAUGGUGAGUCCCCUGUAUGUGUCCAUACAUACAUUGCACACAUCACUGUCCAAUUCCUGUUUGGACGCUGUCUCCCUGAACAUAUCUGAUCUGAACUCUCCACAAGUUAAUGGUUAAAAGUGUCUCUACACAGACAACUCAAGAACCCUUUUGCUCUCUCCCAUGCAUACCUGCACACAUGGGCCGAGCAUUUCAGGCUUGGGUCGGCAGCAGUUUCCGUCAGAGGCCCCACCCCACUAAAGCUCUGAGCAGACCUUUCCACACCGGGCCGCUGGGAACAUUGAGAUCUAACCUCUGCAUCUCUCAAACUCACUUCCUUAAGUGAGGGGUGCCCAUUGUGUGUGUUCACAUCUCCCCCAUUAAGAAGUAUCGGGUCAAAUUAGAUCACCUAGCAGCUGCGUCUGGUUCGUCGAAGAAUCGAGCCGGAUGCACCAGGAUGUCAGCGUGCAAACACAGAACAGAAAAAGACAAACCCUGGGUCCAGACUCCCGCCCCCUCCAACCUGGAGGCUACUUUGCCUCCAGGAAUUUCUACUAGACUCCCCACCCCCACUCUUCCCUUCGCCUUUAGAGGGUUAAGAGAAAUCCUCGCAGCCUUCCCUUCACCCUUGGUCGCUGGGCCCGCAGGGUGGCUCGCUCACUCGCGGCUCACGGGAGUCUGCUGCCGCCUCCGCGGCCCGCCCCCCCUUCCGUCCUUCAGCCGGGAGGGAGCCUGCAUGCCUGUCUAGACCGAUCUAUCACAGGCACACCAACAACACCCGUGAGAGCGCCGAGACCCUGCCUGGUUCCCCUGCCCGCACGGCUUCCCGGCGGACCGAACCCUGAGCGUGACCGCACCGGCGGCGGGGUGGGGUAGGAGCCUUCGGGCGCGGGCUGCCCGAGCGCACCGCGCUGCCGCCCCGGCCCCAGCGCUCCCGCCAGCCCGGCUGCCGGACACAGUCACAGCUCUGCGCGCUGGGCAGUCCUAUUUUAUCUUGUCUAAUCCCAAACUGGGCGGGGAGCACAGGCGUCGUGCUUAGAGAACAAGAGAUAGGCGAGGGAGGCGGGGAGGAACAGCCAGGCAGCGACGCGAGCGGGAGCGAGUUAAAGACACAGUCGAGGCGAUCGAGAGCAGGAAGAAAAAGCGGGCUGCGCUGGGCCUCGGGGCUCCGCACGCAACACGCCGCCGGCGAAGUUACACUCGCCUCCCCGCCGCCCCUCGCCGCCAGUCCUUCCCCACUUCCCAGAGGCGCUCCCCGCAGCCCUGGCCGCGGGGCCCCGGCCUGUGUGGGAGGCAGAGGCCCGGCCGGCCCUGCAAAGAGCUGGAGAGAAUCGCUAAUGAGCUGUGCGGCCCAUUGAUCCGGAGAACACUUCCUAAUUAACUCUCAGUCACCUACUGGUGACAGCGCCUCAAAGGACAGCGCUGGGGCCAUCCAAGCCCCAGCCCCGACCUGCCUGCCGAGCGCCUGGCGCCCGAACCCCGCGCGCUCCCCUCACUACCUCAGGCCAAUCCCGGUGAGUGGCGCCGUCAACCCGCAUACUUAAGGCCGGCCUCGGAUUAAACCUGGACGGCAUAUUAAUCACCACCAUCUCCACCCUUCCUCCACGCGGUGAAAUCAUGGCCCAGAUAAACACGAGAACCACCACUGCAAAGCCCAGAGCAGAUAACAAAUCGGGGGUGGAGUGGGAAGGGUCGCUAUGCAAACGUAUUCUCCAAGUGUCCACGUACAGGAGUCUCGGAGGCCGACACUUAAAAUGCCUUCCACACAAGCAAUUCUGUUGGCAAACCGAAUCCAACACCUCGUAAGGAUUGAUUUCGGCCCGCGGUGUCCGUUUCCAGUGCCACAGGAAGUGUCAGAUGGCUAGAAAUACUCAAGUCUGUCUAGACCGAUCUAUCACAGGCACACCAACAACACCCGUGAGAGCGCCGAGACCCUGCCCGGGUUCCCCCUGCCCGCACGGCUUCCCGGCGGACCGAACCCUGGAGCGUGACCGCACCGGCGGCGGGGUGGGGGUAGGAGCCUUCGGGCGCGGGCUGCCCCGAGCGCACCGCGCUGCCGCCCCGGCCCCCAGCGCUCCCGCCAGCCCGGCUGCCGGGACACAGUCACAGCUCUGCGCGCUGGGCAGUCCUAUUUUUAUCUUGUCUAAUCCCAAACUGGGCGGGGAGCACAGGCGUCGUGCUUAGAGAACAAGAGAUAGGCGAGGGGCGGGGAGGAACAGCCAGGCAGCGACGCGAGCGGGAGCGAGUUAAAGACACAGUCGAGGCGAUCGA